rnacentral:ribozyme from 1 species
GCUGCUCGAAACUUUGCACACCUCUUCGUGGUGAGCGGCAGGCAACACAGUAAUGUGGCUAAGAGGCAAAG